GGGGAGGGGACAGUGGCGCACGGGUGAGUAACACGUGGGUAAUUUACCUUCGGGUGGGGAACAACAGCCGGAAACGGCUGCUAAUACCGCAUAAUGCAGCGGCAUCGCAAGAUGACAGUUGUUAAAGCGGGGGAUCGCAAGACCUCGCGCCUGAAGAGAAGCCCGCGGCAGAUUAGCUAGUUGGUAGGGUAACGGCCUACCAAGGCGACGAUCUGUAACCGGCCUGAGAGGGCGGUCGGUCACACUGACACUGACAUACGGGUCAGACUCCUACGGGAGGCAGCAGUCGGGAAUUUUGGGCAAUGGGCGAAAGCCUGACCCAGCAACGCCGCGUGAAGGAUGAAGCUUUUCGGAGUGUAAACUUCAUAAGAAUGGGAAGAAUAAGUUUUGGAUAACACCCGAAACGAUGACGGUACCAUUUGUAAGCUCCGGCUAACUCCGUGCCAGCAGCCGCGGUAAUACGGGGGGAGCAAGCGUUGUUCGGAUUUACUGGGCGUAAAGGGCGCGUAGGCGGCGCGACAAGUCACUUGUGAAAUCUCUGAGCUCAACUCAGAACGGUCAAGUGAUACUGUCGUGCUAGAGUGCGGAAGGGGCAACUGGAAUUCUUGGUGUAGCGGUGAAAUGCGUAGAUAUCAAGAGGAACACCUGCGGCGAAGGCGGGUUGCUGGGCCGACACUGACGCUGAGGCGCGAAAGCCAGGGGAGCGAACGGGAUUAGAUACCCCGGUAGUCCUGGCCUUAAACG
rnacentral:rRNA from 1 species